rnacentral:rRNA from 1 species
GGGGAAUUUUCCGCAAUGGGCGAAAGCCUGACGGAGCAAGACCGCGUGGGGGAAGAAGGCUCUUGGGUUGUAAACUCCUUUUCUCUGGGAAGAACAAAAUGACGGUACCAGAGGAAUCAGCAUCGGCUAACUCCGUGCCAGCAGCCGCGGUAAGACGGAGGAUGCAAGCGUUAUCCGGAAUGAUUGGGCGUAAAGCGUCCGCAGGUGGCAGUUCAAGUCUGCUGUCAAAGACCGGGGCUCAACCUCGGAAAGGCAGUGGAAACUGAACAGCUAGAGUAUGGUAGGGGCAAAGGGAAUUCCUGGUGUAGCGGUGAAAUGCGUAGAGAUCAGGAAGAACAUCGGUGGCGAAGGCGCUUUGCUGGACCAUAACUGACACUCAGGGACGAAAGCUAGGGGAGCGAAUGGGAUUAGAUACCCC